CCGCCCCCCGUGGUCCAAACUGGGUGAUGGUGCCGGAAGGGUGACUGGGUGCUGGGUAGUCGGUCCCCAAUGCCCUCCCGGGGUGGGGGGUGCGACACGGAGCCGAGAUGACCGGGACACCCACUCGGUGCUGAGGCCGCGAGACCUCGGUUCUCGGAAGUGCUCAGCAGACAAAUGUCUGACAAUUAAAAAUAAUUGGGCCCGCGCGGUGCCUGCCGGGAGCGGGGGCUGCGCGGGAAGCCGCCGGGCGGGGGGCGGGGGGCCUGGAAACCGCCGCAGCCUCCCCAGCUAAUUGAUUCCCGAUUACUCUCGGGUCCCAGGCGCUGUUGACACAAUUAAACACCAUUAAAAACCGGCUCGUUCCGGCUGCCGGCGACGCGGGCCUCGGAAUCCGGCUCUUGCCAGUUUCUUCUCACGAAUAUUGAAGUAACCGUCCACCAGAGAUGCUCCCCCAGGACUCCGGCGUAUGUCAUGACGUCACGUGAGUCGUCACGGCGUCGAGCGGACGUAGACGGCCCUAGAAGCCCGGGAGGUGUGACGUCACGGGUGCCGAACACCGCAGGCCCGGUGAUGACGAAGGUUUGUGCAUAUCGCGGGGUUUUACCCCAGACCCUGGUUGGACUUGGCCUGGGGGGGGGGCGUGAAACCGCCACCGUGUAUCUGGUGCCCACUAGGUGGUGCUGAGGGCACGAUGACUUUCGGCUGCAUCCAAGACAAAUGGGGUGCUGGGUCCCGGUCCCCGUUUUCUGGUACAAAAUUUCUAACGUGGACAGACACCCAACCGGAACUGGAACCUCCAGGCCCGUCCCCUCACCCAUCCACACCUGUCAAUCAAGGACCUCAGCCGGUCACACUUUGGUACAGGUGCUGGGAUGGGUCAACACAGCAAGACCAGCUCCUGCUGCACGGUCCACAUCGGAAAACUAUACAGCACUGAAGAGGAAGUCCUGAUUGCAGGUUUGAGUCUGGGGGCACCUUGUUACCUCCAUAGCCGCGGCUGACUGAUACAAACUGGUUUUAAUUAGGUGUCCGAGUGUGAGCAGCACUGGGUGGAGGCCAGAAGAGGCCUGCGGAGCUCCUGGAGCUGGGGGUUCCAGAGGUUGUGGGAAAUCGUACUGUACACAGCACCAUCAAGUACUGAUCAGGAGGAUGUGCCGGUCAGCUGUGUCCCGUCCGUGCCUCAGUUUCCCUGACUGGCACCGAGCCAUGGGCAAAACGGUACCCAGGUGUGCAGACAUCAUGCCAUCAGUUCGAGGGCUGGAGUCACAUGUGCCGGUUUUCUCUGGGUCUCUGUCUGUUUCCAUCCCUUCAUUCUAAAUAAAGAACAGUCGCCAGCAAAGGAAAAAAGACAAAGGUUUCUGCGAGCAGCCCGAGCCUGGAAGUACUUAACCCCCCUUUUUCUAACUUUGCACUCGGUUCCCCUUCAGCAGCUCUGACAUCAUAGCACGUCCUUAAACUUGUCCCCAGUUCGUCUUUCAUUCGGCUGCUAUUUCAAAUAAGUAGAAGUAAACAGUGGAUAAACAAAGGCAGCCAAGCCGAGGACGCGGGUCCGACCCCCGGAACCCCGGGCUUUUGAAAGCAACAUGGCGACGUUUGACGACUGAAUAUUUGUGAUUUCACGGAACCGCUGAUCGUCAGUUGAUGAAUCCACAAACUUCCCGGUUUUUGUCUCUUUCAGGAUUUUGAGCAGUGGGUCAUGUGCAAAGACUCCACCGGCCGCAUUUAAACAGGGAAUAAACUGGACUGAGCCGGCGUGGGUGGCCCCGGGGCCGAGCACCGUCCUGUCAUGCCUCCGCCCCCGCAGCCCCCGCCGCCCCUGCCGCCGUGGACCUGAUUAGGGGCCAAUUUACAGCCGUGAGUGCGCCCGGCCCGCUAAUGUUUCCUGACACUUUCAGGAGGGUCCGCUCGAGACCUCUGGCCGGGAGAGCGUUGCCCUGGCAACGGGUCCCACCGCCGGCCCGACCAGUCGGAUGCGGAUCUAGACAAGUUUGCACCCCGCCCGCUGGGUUCCUUUUGUUUCGCUGCUCUAUUGUGUAUGGAUUUAGAGUGUGGGUGCUGCCCUGGGUGUGCGCGCCCUAUGCACACGGCCACGGUGCGUGUGCAAAGCCUGCGAAGAUGUGAACAGGGACAUGGUGCCGGGUGCAAGUGCUGGGAGCAUUUGUACAUGGUGCCGGGUGCAGAAGCAGGGAGACUUGCACAGGGACCUGGUGCCAUGUGAAAGGCUGCGAAGAUUUGUGCAGGGUCCUGGGUUCAAAAACUGACAUCGUUUGCACAGGGACAUGGUGCUGUAUGCAAAACUCGAGCCGAUUUGCACAGGGGCACGUUGUCACGUGCAGAAACUAUAAGGCUUUGCAAAGAUACAUGGUGCUGUGAGGAUCUGCACAGUGCUGUGUGCAAAAGGUGUAAAGACUUGAACAGGGACAUGGAGCCUUGUGCAGAAGCUGCAAGAUUUGCCCUGACAUGGAGGGUGGGGCUUGUCGGGGAGAG